CCUACGGGAGGCAGCAGUGGGGGAUAUUGCACAAUGGGGGGAACCCUGAUGCAGCGACGCCGCGUGGGUGAAGGAGUGCUUCGGCAUGUAAAGCCCUAUCGGCAGGGAAGAAGCAAGACGGUACCUGACUAAGAAGCCCCGGCUAACUACGUGCCAGCAGCCGCGGUAAUACGUAGGGGGCGAGCGUUAUCCGGAUUCACUGGGUGUAAAGGGAGCGUAGACGGCCAUGCAAGCCAGGGGUGAAAGCCCGGGGCCCAACCCCGGGACUGCCCUUGGAACUGUGCGGCUAGAGUGCGGGAGGGGCAGGCGGAAUUCCUGGUGGAGCGGUGAAAUGCGUAGAUAUCAGGAGGAACACCGGCGGCGAUGGCGGCCUGCUGGACCGCGACUGACGAUGAGGCUCGAAAGCGUGGGGAGCGAACAGGAUUAGAUACCCCGGUAGUC
rnacentral:rRNA from 1 species